GUCUGGUGAUCCUGCACAUAGCAGGGGUCCUUUUCAGCCCAGGCCAUUCUAUGAUUUUAUGCUCUGCCAGCAACACCUGACACGCUGAUGGAUUCAGCUCUUCCCACUCAGUGUAGCAGUAUCUGCCAGCUUUAAAAGCUGACCAACCACAACAGGUGAUAGCACCACUGUGUGUGAUUGCCUCACAGCACAUGACAUUCAGCCCGAAAACAGGAGGCCUGUUACCUGGAGCCCCCAGUCCAGGUGAGGGUCAAAGUCACAUCUCCCAACUCCUUAGGAAGUGCCUCAGUGCCUACAUAGUGCCUACAUAUUGGGAUGGCCUCACCCUCCUGAAGCUGCACCUCCAUCUGAGCCAGUAGGCCACAUACAUGGAAGCACUGGCUUCCUUCUUGUGUACAAAAGGCUUAUGUAGAAUUCAGCACUGAUUGGUUAGACCAUUUGGGUCAUGGUGAGCACAAGAGUUGCUGGGAUUCUUCACCAGGUCUAAGCAUCCCAACACUGCCUUGCCUGCCCAUCUUCUCUGCUGGCUCUGUCAGAGGUUCUAUCCACCUCAGCCUCUGAGAGCACACCUUUAGCCACACAAAUGAGAAGAAAUGCUACAAGUAUAUGAAGGUUUGCUAUAAUAGCAGGACGUUAAUUUUCCUCAAGGGAGCAGAGUGCUAAGACCUAAACAUGUAUGCCAGCUUAGCAAAAUAAAAUAAAAUAAAGGGGGGUGGGGGGAAGAGGGAAUGAAAAGAAAGAAUGGAAGAAUAAACAUUCCUACAUGGAAGUAAGCAUGCAUUUUAAAAUAAUUACUGGCACUGCUUACGGUCCUGGCUUUCUUUUAUGUCUGCAAACAUCAUCUAAUACAUAAGAAAUGAAUAAACAAAAAUUCAGAUACAUUAAACUGCCCAGGGUGUACAGCACAUUUUAUAGAACACUUUCAGUUGUGACAUAUUUGAAGCUACCUUACACUCUCGAUUCACUACAUGCUCAAGUUAUCUGCCAUAGGCACGCAGCUGAGUGCCAGAUAAGACUUUUGGAGAGGAGGUGAAUGCUUUCUUUGAUGCUUCUGGGUCAAAGUUCUGGGCUCCCAAAGAAUGGGGGGCAACACACAAUGUUUUGCCCUGAUGGUCCCAUCAGUUACUAAUAGAUCACAAACAGAUUCCUCUAAUAUGGGAGUGAGCUGAGCAACCUGGCUCGCUGUCCCAAGAACCCACUCAGUAAAACAAGUGCUGCUGGCUGCACUAACAGUGCAUGAGGAGUGAGGAUGGUGCACAGGCUGAAGGGCUUCACCAUUACUGGGGAAGUCACAAGUAUUGCCUUUCUGAACAAGUUUUGGACAGUGUUUGAGACUCCCCCACCCCUAGAGAAGCUUUGUACAGAAUGUAGAUGGCCAGGACAUUCAGGCAUUGCUACCAGCUUUUAGAGAAGCACAGUGGUUGCUGACUCAUUGCAGUAAAUGUUUAGGGGAUACCUAAAUAGCCUCUGAUACCAUCAUUCAACUGUGCCUAUACCCCAACAGUUAAAGCACCUGAGAGGCUGGUAACAGCCCAGACUAACGCAUACAUGACAAGAACAAAACUAAGAACUGUAGUUUAGUAUUGCUAUGGGACCAUCUUCGAGAACAUGGAAAGGACAUAAGAGGCCAUACGGAAAAAUCCAUCCCGGGUUUUUACUGCUGAAAGCUAAGCCCUCCCAAGAGACCCCACGAAUGCACUAAAAGCUCUAGGUAUUUCAUUUCACUUAGAGUUUCACCAUCUCAGCCAGACUGCUAAUAACUUUACAUAAAAAGUCAAUUAAUUAACUGUCUGCAAUGAAAUGCAUCUAAGGAUUCUGUGUUUUAAAUCAAGUGGAGAAAUGAUACAAUUAAAGCACUCUUGCCAUAUUUAGGAACUUCUAAAAAACGCCGCUGUGCAAUUUUGGUGCAUGUGGAACGAUUUCACAGCACAGGAAGCUCCACCAUCGUCUUUUCGAGUGCAAAAGCACAAAGUUGGCAAAACGCGUUAUCUCGCUGGGGCACGCAGUGUGCGGUGCUGGCCCGAGCGCGCUGACACUGAGAGCACCCGCAGCCUCCCGCCGCUCUCGCCCGCCCCGCGGCAUGACCCGCACCGGGGCUCGGGCAGACACCUGCUCGCUCACCCCGCGGCCGUCUAGCCUCCCUUCCACCUCGAUCUUCCAGCUGGGGAGCUUGCGGGGAGCUAGGAACGCCGUCGCCCAGGUACCCUGCCUCUCCCAGCGAGGACUAACAGCUCGUUUUCGCUUCAAGUUUCCCGGCCCCUCACUGUGACGCUCCGAGAGAUGACCUUCCGCGGGGGGCGGCGACCGUCGGGCGCACAGCCGCGGCAGGGGUGUCCGGCUUUGGGGGCUCCACGCCGAGGAUGGGGCCACGGGCGGGGUCCCGCCGGACACUAAGCCCCAACCUCGCUCUCGCAAAGCUCGAGCGGACCUGUUGCCGCCGGGCUCGGCGCACCUCCGGCCGCUGAACUGAUAGGGCGCGCCAGCCCUCUUCGUUUCCCCCACUGACUGUAGGAGCUGGGUCUCGGCAAGAGUCUGGCACAGAGCCGUGGGCGACACGACCCAGCUCGCAGUCGAGCUCGGUCGUCUCCGCGUUCUCUUUGCGCAGCCGUGCGCACAGGAGAGCUCAGGCAGCGGAGCGCCCGCAGAGACAGCCACGGGGCCGGGAGCGGGACUCUCCACUCUGCGCUGACCCGUGCGCCCUGCCGCUCGCCCGAGCUCCAGAGAAUGAGCACCGAGCGUCGAGGAAGUUUCGUGCCCACGGGCGGUCCAGCUCUUCCUUUCCGAAGCGCGGCGGAGUGCCUUUCCCUGACGCAUCCUCCUCGGCUCCGA